rnacentral:rRNA from 1 species
UACGUAGGUGGCAAGCGUUGUCCGGAAUUAUUGGGCGUAAAGGGCGCGCAGGCGGCCUGUCAAGUCUGUCUUAAAAGUGCGGGGCUCAACCCCGUGAUGGGACGGAAACUGGCAGGCUGGAGUGUCGGAGAGGAAAGCAGAAUUCCUAGUGUAGCGGUGAAAUGCGUAGAUAUUAGGAGGAAUACCAGUGGCGAAAGCGGCUUUCUGGACGACAACUGACGCUGAGGCGCGAAAGCCAGGGGAGCAAACGGGAUUAGAUACCCCGGUAGUCCUGGCCGUAAACGAUGGGUACUAGGUGUAGGAGGUAUCGACCCCUUCUGUGCCGGAGUUAACGCAAUAAGUAUCCCGCCUGGGGAGUACGGCCGCAAGGCUGAAACUCAAAGGAAUUGACGGGGGCCCGCACAAGCGGUGGAGUAUGUGGUUUAAUUCGACGCAACGCGAAGAACCUUACCAAGCCUUGACAUUGAUUGAACGAGGCAGAGAUGCCUUUUUCCUCUUCGGAGGACAAGAAAACAGGUGGUGCACGGCUGUCGUCAGCUCGUGUCGUGAGAUGUUGGGUUAAGUCCCGCAACGAGCGCAACCCCUAUCUUCUGUUACCAGCACGUAAGGGUGGGGGCUCAGGAGAGACUGCCGCAGACAAUGCGGAGGAAGGCGGGGAUGACGUCAAGUCAUCAUGCCCCUUAUGGCUUGGGCUACACACGUACUACAAUGGCUCUUAAUAGAGGGACGCGAAGGAGCGAUCUGGAGCAAACCCCAAAAACAGAGUCCCAGUUCGGAUUGCAGGCUGCAACCCGCCUGCAUGAAGCAGGAAUCGCUAGUAAUCGCAGGUCAGCAUACUGCGGUGAAUACGUUCCCGGGCCU